rnacentral:lncRNA from 1 species
GCCUUUUCUUGGGCCGCUCCCGCGGCACAUGGAGGUUCCCAGGCUAGGGGUCUAAUCGGAGCUGUAGCCGCUGGCCUACGCCAGAGCCACAGCAACGCUGGAUCCGAGCCGCGUCUGCAACCUACACCACAGCUCACGGCAACGCUGGAUCGUUAACCCACUGAGCAAGGGCAGGGACCGAACCCGCAACCUCAUGGUUUCUAGUCGGAUUCGUUAACCACUGCGCCACGACAGGAACUCCAAGCCUUCUUGUUUUAAACACCUUCUAUGGGCUGGCCCCUGUGCUAUGUACCAGGAACAUGACAGAGAGUAUCAGAACAUUUUUGUCUCAUCUCCUGCAAUUAACAUUCUAAUACUCACUGGCUCUUUGCUGCAGUGAUAUUGCUUCUCUAAUUCAGCCUUAUUUAUUCCUUCAGGUCACUUCAUACUCUGCCUUUAUUUUUAUUUCCAACUCCCCGAGGACAGUAUUCUGUGUUAUUUUUGCUGCUUAGAAUACAUUAGCUGUUCAAUAAUACUACAGAUUAGCCACAAUAUUCACUAGAAUAAGAGUCAAAAAGGUCCUCGUGAGAGAUGCCCAGUAUUUUCUUUUCUUCUGUCUUUUUAGGGCCACAACCGCAGCAUAUGGAGGUUCCCAGGCUAGGGGUAGAAUAGAAGCUGCAGCUGCUGGUCUAUACCACAGCCACAGCAACUCAGGAUCUGAGCUGUGCCUGCAACCUACACCACAGCUCAUGGCUAUGCUGGAUCCUGAACCCACUGAGCAAGACCAGGGAUCGAACCUGUGUCUUCAUGGAUACUAGUCAGAUUCGCUUCCACUGAGCCAUGAUGGGAACUCCAUGUUUAGGUAUCUUAAAUGCUGGGUGGGAAAGAGCAACCCCCAUUCCUGUCCCAAAUCACAGGAAUCAAACUGGAGACGCUGGCCUCAAGCAGCCUGAUGAGAUGGUUAGGCACUAAGGCCCCGGCACUGCUGUUUCCACCUAUACGAUUGGCUCAGAUACUAACAAUCUCUGACCCUCAGUUUUCUCGCCGGAAAAUCGGGAUAGGGGAACAGGUGUCCCUAUGUCAACAUGUUAUUAAAUGAGAUGGUCCAUGUAAAGAGCUCAACACAGCAGGACACAGGGAAUCCACUCUGUUCAGGAGAGCCGAGGUUACCAAUGUUGUGACAGCCCCUGCUGGCAUGAGCCUUUGGUAAGAAAAUUCAAAGAUGGUUCCAUGAUUGCCAUCCUUGGUCUUACUCUGUGACCAUGUUACCUACAUGGUAAAGAGAUCUGCAGAUAUAAUGAAUGAUGUUUACUUACCCUAAAAGAGGGAAAUUCUCUCGGUGGACCUGAACUAAUCACAUAAGCCCUUUACAGCAGCGUUCGCUCCAGCUGACUGUAGAAGGGGAUGUCAGAUAUUUGAAGCAGGAAAGGAUCUGAUGUCCUGCUGCUGACCAGGAGAUGGAGAGGGGUGUGGCAAGGAAAGCAGCAGCCAGUAGGAGCCAAGAUCAGCACCCAGUUGACUGCCAGGGAGGAGAGGGGGACCUCAGUCCUACCACCUCCAGGAAUUUGAUUCUGCAACAACCUGAAUGAGCCUGGAAGCAGAUUAUCCCUAAGAGCCUCAGGAUAAGACCUCAGUUCAGCUGGUACCUUGACCUUGGACUUGAGAUACCCAAGGCAAAGAACCCACUCGAGCCAGGCUUCUCACCUACAGAACUGUGAGCUAAUAUAUAGACAUUGUUUAAGCCACCAAGUUUGGGUGAUCUGCUACGCAGCAACAGAAGCUAACAUAAGCCCUGCUUGGCUUCCAGCAAUAAUGCAUACAAAUUGAAAACACACCAAGUGCUUGUCCGAAGGGUUUGGGGAUUGGCACUUUCUGCAUCCUUAAUAGGCAUGGGUGACACGUGAGGGCUGGGACUGUCUUAACCUCUCUAGCACUUAGCAGCGUGACUAUCAUAUUGCAGAUUCUCAAUAAUUUCGCUUAACAAAAUUUCAACUUCCUGGGCAGUCAGGAAUGGUUUAUAGCUCCCCAGGUGUCCUUCAUAAUUGCAGAACCAGCCAAUUAUAAGGUGUUCAGGUGCACUAAUCUGGACAAAUCCCAGCAAAGGUCUCUUUUUUGCCUAGAGGAAAACUCCAGACACUGCAAGUGGUUCAGAGGAAGCCACCCGGUACCCGAGGUAGGUAUGUGUCUGCGUGCAAACGAAUCUCACUUUACAUGCCCACUGACCGUGCUGCAGUCCCUGACUCGGCCUGCGGCAGCCUCCCAGGACUCACAGGCCGGCCAAACCCUGACAUUCUGCUGGUAAUUGUAUCUUCCAGUAAAGAAUCCUAGUUGGUAAAAAUAGCAGCUGCAACUUCCUGCAACACGGACAGACCAGUUGAUCCUGGUGCCUGAAAGGAAAGCUGGAGACUCACUCCAUCUCACUCUGACUCUGAGAAGCCUCUGCAAGCUGGGCUGGGGGUGGCUGUGGGGUGGGACCUACUCUGCCCCGCCCCCAUGGACUGCCUUCAAGCCAGUUCCCAAGUGAGUUGCUCCCUUCAGGAAAAAACCCAACGCUCAGAAUCAGGGGAUACCUAGUAAAUGCAAAACAUGCCUGCAGCCAAGAGGCCUCCCGACCAAAACUAUCUGGUGGGGGGUGGGGUGGGCCACUGUCCCUCGUUUGGCAGCUAUCACCCUCCCAUGUCUGUCCACCUUCCUAUCUGUGGCCUAGUGCCUCCCCCCAACUUCCUUCCCCCAUCUCCAACUAGGUAGGGCUGCUGGGGAUACAGAAGCCUCCACCCCGGCUUAGGUCCCAGGUGGCAGCCGGGGAAUCCAAGCCAAGCCCAGACACUGCUCCCCAUGGUGGGGCCCUGUUGCUGUGUUAGAGCCCACCUGGGGAAGGACAGGAGAGCCUGGCUAAAAUGUCCCCAGGCACCUGAAUCCCAGCAGUAAUGAAUUCCUCCAGGGGCUUAGGCCACUGGGCCACCAGCCCCUGGCUCCCCCAGCAUGGGGCCUGAGGACCACAUGGGUCUGGAUGCUGUCUUUCCUUUGUCGGUCUCCAUAGGCUCCCCUCCUUCUAUCUCCACAUCAAGCGUGUGGGCCUUUUUCUCAAUCUUUUGCUUGUUUUAAAGCCUCCUGUUAUAGGAAAACAGACGAGGACCCCCAAAGUAGCAGACAUGGAAAUUCAUGAAGUUCUAGGAGCCCCAACCAUUGGCCUCUACCUACAGAUAACAGGCCAUCAGUCUGUGGUGACCAACGCCCCUUUCUGAGCCUUGCUGUGGACCAGCUAGAGGACUUCUUGGCUCAUUUCUCUGACUCGGCUGGGUGAGGCCCUCUGCAUCUCAGGCAUACGGGGCAGACGCCCCACCUAAUGCCACCCCAGCCCCUCCCCUGGACACACUGGCUGCUCAGAAACACUCACAUCCAUUCAAGUGUUCUGGGCUCCAGAUAGUUGCCUUUCACUAGCAAAACCCAUGAUGUCUGCAGAGCUUUUCAGCAUAAAAUGAACUUUCAGGAAUGUUUUCCCAUGCACAACACGCAGCAGCCUGGCAGGGGGGAGGGCAGGGAUUAAAAGGGCCUCAUUUCACAGAUGAGUACGCAGGGCGAAGGCUUUGCUGAGCCCCCAGCUACAGUCAGGAGAUCAGCAAGAGGCAGUGCCAGCACUCGAUAGACCCAG